CCGAAUGACUUGCACCUUUUUUGUAGUAGACCAUUCCAUAGUCUGCCCUCAGGAUUCGAUGGGAAUGUCGGAUGCUGUUGUGGUGGGGCCCUUGGUCUCCUAUGUCUUCUUUUAUUCACCACACAAAACCUGUCAUCGUAUGGUGUUGUGCUUGAACGCGCAUAAUAA
rnacentral:misc_RNA from 1 species